CGGAAGCCGCCUCGGGUUUUCUAGCGGAGCGCCGGAUUAGGCAGUCCCCGCCCCGGUGCCCCUGAUUGGGUAGGGCCUCAGGCCCCGCCCCCUCAGACUCUUAGUGACAGGUGACAGCUCCCGCGCGUGUCUGAAUGAGGCAGCGUUCUGGCUACAGCUCUUCUCCAAGAGGGUUUCCUCUCUGGGUUGGGACCCAGCCUUGCCUAGGGGACAUUCAUUUAUAUACACUUAACCUUGUAUACAAUGUUACAUUCAUUUGUGAAUAAUAUAUAUGAUAUUUAAAAUAGGAAACAAUAUAAUAAUAAUUCUUUUAAAAUUUCAGACUUAUUAACCUUCAUGGCCUCUGGUCUUCUGAGGAAGCAGUCUGAGGAGCCCGAGUUUUGAAAAGGGAAGCAAUCCUCCAAGGCUGCGAUUUCCACAGAAAUCACAUGUGAGCCACAGGUGUCAUUUUAAAAUUUCUAGUAGCAACAGAAACGAGGAAUAAACAGGUGAGGUUUAUAUAACUUUCCAAGACAAGGAAGUUGUGCAAAGCCUCACAGCUACUAAGAGGCUGGGCUGGGACCAGGAUUAACUUUUCGUGACUCCAAAGCCCAUGCACCUCUGCAAGCCACACGAAUCAAGCAGCUUCUCUAAACCUUUGAAGUCCUGGAAAGUAACUCUUCUGCAAUAGAAGCAAGAAUCCUGUGAGAUUGGGAUCCAUCUAGUACUCUUCACCAUUUGGAACAACUGCCUCCAGAGAAUGCUUCUGACACAUCUUGGAAGAACGUGGAAUAACUUGAGGAAAUGGUCGAUUUGCUAAUUUAGGAAACCAAUGUUCGAUAUUACAUAUUUUUUAUUUCUUUUCAUAGGAUAAAUUUAAAAGCACAGAUGACGCACUCCACAUGAACGCAAAUCCUAUUCAUCCCUUUUUGUUGUUUGUAGGCUAUUUAUGAUUUUCAACAAAGACUAAAUCAAACCACUGUGUCUGAAAUAACCUCUUACUCUGAAAGCAAGUGACAUGAAAAUAGACCUGCUGAGAAAAAUUUCUUCCUGCUGCAAUUUAACGAAACAGCUGACUACAAUUUGAAGCCAUUCUUUGAUUUUUUUUUUUUUUUUUUUUUUUAAGAUGGAGUCUCGCUGUGUCAUCCAGGCUGGAGUGCAGUGGUGUGAUCUCGGCUCACUGCAAGCUCCGCCUCCCGGGUUCACGCCAUUCUCCUGCCUCAGCCUCCCGAGUAGCUGGGACUACAGGCGCCGGCCACCAUGCCCGGCUAAUUUUUUUGUAUUUUUAGUAGAGAUGGGGUUUCAUCGUGUUAGUCAGGAUGGUCUCCAUCUCCUGACCUCGUGAUCAGCCCGCCUCGGCCUCCCAAAGUGCUGGGAUUACAGGCGUGAGCCACCGUGCCCGGCCCAUCCUUUGAUUUUUAACAAGGCAAGCUUGUUUUCCAAGACCUCAAAUAGAUCAUGUGAGUGUCAGGGCUACUAUAUUGACUCAGAAGGUGGACCAUAUCCUCUGUUUGGAGAUGGAGUGGUGAGAGGGCCUGCACCAGCAUGUGAAGACCUUAGGUCCAUAGGUGAGAUUCAAUCAUCAGGUGUGGUGUUUUAGGGUCCUGAUGUUUAUGCAAAAGUUAUGUGUAUAUUACUAAAGGUAAAUUGUAGAACAUUACAAAUAAUCAUAUAUAAACCAAAAAUGUCAACUACAAUUGUCAUUAUGCAUUAUUAUUCUAAGUAUUUUUACCACAAUUAGAAGUAGUAGCAGUUGUUGCUGCUGCCGCUGCUGUUGUAGGAAUGGAGAUGAAAACAUGGAAUAAAGCUCUGCUGCCUGGUCAUUCUGCUGCUCCUACGGCUGCAGAUGUGCUAGUUCUGCGCAGACUUUAGACUUCUGUUGUGAAGCUGUAACUUAAGAGACUUUCAGUGCUCUGCUGUGGCAGGAAAAAAGUUUGAGUCAAGACAGAACAACAAUUCUGUGAAUUUGAAGGUGGAGGGUAGGAUGGUUCUGGGGCGCAGUUGAAGGGGAAGAAGUACACAUCACUGAAUGAAGGAGUGGAAGCCUAUGGUGAAUGGCAGGGUUUGGCCAUGAAGCAAAUCAGAUUUGGAUUUUACGGACGGUCACUCAGUGAAACUGACACACCUGCAAAGCGGGAAAUGGAGGACGAAUAAACAGGUGAUGUGUUCCAGCAGCAGACAGGAGGGCCUUCUAAGAACACACCUGCUCCUUUACCCAGGACCUCUUCCUACAACUCCAGCAGACAUUCUCAUGUAGAAACCCACAAUGUGAUUUCAUCACAUUCUGACUCCACAUUCUGACACCACAUUCUGACUCCACAUUCUGGCUGGUGGUGUUUGAGUCACUGAAUUUUUGGAAGGACUUCAAAUGUCAAGCAUUAUUCUCCAUGAACAGGGUGAUGAGGGGUCUGGCCAUCACCACCACCUGCCUCCUGAGCAUGCUCCAGGCCAUCACCAUCAGCCCUAGCAUCUUGUGGUAGGCAUGAGAGGUGAUACCAGAGCCUUCGCAACACCAGCCGCUCCCCAAGAGCCUCCCCAGAGAAAAGGGCCAUGCAGACCAGCCUGUGUCUUCUGGAACUGGAACACGGACUACCCACCCCUAUGUUGAGGCAGCUUCUGACAGGCCUUACUGCUUACGGUCAUCGGUCAUCAGCCCACCCGCUUGGAUCUCCAGCUGCAAGUCACUCUGGGCCCAGUUCUCAGACAAGGCCAAGUCGGCCACACCAGGGGCUCUCUGGGGAGCCUGGAGGAAGUUUGACUCUUCAGUCUGCUGCAUCUCAGCCAGGAGUUCAUCCAUCUUGAAGGUCUGAGGGGCACGGGAUACAAGGGUACACUGUGGUCCUGCAGGAAUUCACCCACCAAUUCAUCUUCAGAAGCUACUCCCAAAGGCUUGGAGACUGCCUCAGAGGCUGGGGCUCGGAGGCGGGGCAGGGGUCAGGCGUCAGGCCUUAGUGCCUUCUGCUGGGGUCGGCGGGUGUUUUCUCUUUUUACUGUAUUUAACUACAUUAAUCGUGCUCAGUAUUUCGGUUCACUAAUCUCAUCAGCUGAGACUAAUUUAAUAUUUAACCCGUAUGUUGUAUAUUAAGUAGGUUGAUUCUACUUCCAACUGUUUGUAUUUGCCUCUUUUUCAAAUAUGGCUUGUCAAGCUUGUAGUCAUUUGCUCUUUAACAUUUUUUUUCCUAUUUUUCUCAUUGUGUUGACUUAAACAUUUAAAAAAUAAGUCCUAUAACUGUGUGUAACAUACGUUUUAAUUUUCUAUUCACUUAUGGGAGACAUUACAUUUGAGACAUCUGCAGUUUAUGUCUUUGUUUUUUAAAUUUGCCUUAUGGCAAGUUGGGCCACCCACACGGAUCUGGCAACUCUGAUCGCCCAUAUCUAAGAGGAGCACUUAGUUCUCAGUUGAUUAUUUUCAUAAGUGGUUUCUUUGGUUUGCUUCUCUAGUUGGAAAAUUAUAUUUUACUUUCACUUUCAACGCUAUACAGUCCUUUAAAGAUUCUUGUAACUUUCUGAGAAUUUUAGCUUUCUACAUUUAAAAUGUGUAGAAUCUAGUUUUCCAACAAGCACAAAUGUCAAGUGUACACAUGAAAUACAUUUUACACAAUUUUUUGUAACAGACAAGAAAUCUCGUCACUUUAUUUAGAACAUAUCCUUUCCUCAAUAUACUGUAAAGUAAUAAUUUGUAGAGUUUAACUUUAAUACUAGGGAACUGAUUUUACAUUUUGCAUAAGUUUCUGAGAUAAAUGUACUCUACUUCAGAGAACAGUACCUAUAUAUGGCCAAAACUACUUAUUUUCUACACCACUGAGAAAAUAUUGGCAGAAUUGGCUAGGCGCGGUGGCUCACGCCUGUAAUCCCAACACUUUGGGAGGCCGAGGCGGGCGAAUCACGAGGUCAGGGGAUCGAGACCAUCCUGGCUAGUACGGUGAAACCCCGUCUCUACUAAAAAUACAAAAAAUUAGCUGGGCGUGGUGGCGGGCGCCUGUAGUCCCAGCUACUCAGGAGGCUGAGGCAGGAGAAUGGCGUGAACCCGGGAGGAGCUUGCAAGUGAGUGGAGAUCGUGCCACUGCACUCCAGCAACAGAGCGAGACUCCAUCUCAAAAAAAAAAAAAGAAAAUAUUGGCAGAAUUACUUACCUGAAUUCAGAUUUUUGGCUUCAAUCACCAUGCUUCCUCAUUAGCACUUCCCUGAAUCCAUAAAAGAAUCUCUUUGAGUCUUCCAUUUGAACCACAGAUUAAAAAAUUUCAAUGCAAUUUUCAUGUGGUGAGAUAGUACUUGCUGGUAACAUUUUAGUAUAUAAUUUCUAUUGUUAUUUACAAUGUUCAGAAAAUAUGACCUGCUGGGUUUCUGGGGUAAUAAACUCAAUGACGUAUUUUAGGCCUAAGACUUUACCACCUAAAAUACUUAUAUCUAAUAUUUGAAAAUAAUGCGCAUCCUUUGUUUACUGGCAAAAAUAGCUGCCGUUUGUUCCUAUGCGUAAUUACUAUAACUUCCUAACAAAGUUAACAUUAUUUAUGUUCAUUUAGUUGUGGGGCACCAAAAAGUUAAUUUCCAUAAUGAUCUUAAUGUUACCUAGUAUGAAUGAAAAUGUGACAGAGGCUAGGAGAUGGGGUGAAUAAAAAGAGGGGAAAUGUUCUUCAAAGUGUACCAAGUUUCACUUAGGAGAAAUAAGAUUUAGUGAUCAAUUGCACAGAAUGGUGACUACAAUGUGUAUUUCAAAACUGCUAUAAAGACUAUUUUCCAUGUUUUCACCACAAAAAUUAUAUGAGGUUAUAAACAUUAACUUGAUUUAAUCAUUUUACAACAUAAACAUAUAUCAAAAUAUUACACUGUAGACAGAUAUAUACAACUAUUAUUUUUCAAUUAAAAAUAGAAUUUUUUUAAAAUUUAAUUUUUCUUUUUCAAUGAAUCUUUGAUUUCUUCACUUUAAACUCUUAGGUAUUAAGCAUACAAAUGUUUAAUGGCUUAGAAUAGUUACCUAACACAUUAUAUGAGCCAAAUACUAACUACUCCUCCAAACUAUCUUUUUUCAUAGCAUUCUUCAAAUACAAGAUUAUUCUGUAUAUCUUAUUAAAAUUUAUUUGUCUGCCUUAUCUAAAUAUUGAUAAAAAUAGAAGGUAGGGGCAUUUGCCUGCUUCAUACAUUCCAAAAUCAAAGGGCAGUUUUACUAAUUAUUUUUACAUUCAGUAACUCAUUUGUCUCACACAGUAAACACAAAUAUUACGUAACAGAACUAUAUUCAUAUUCUUCAUCCUAAAAAUGGAAAAAAUUUUGAGUUAUUUAUUGAUUGUAGUACGGGACUCAUUCUCUAUUUUUUCAAAUUAUUCCAUGUCAAGUGCCUAGAAUAAUUG
rnacentral:lncRNA from 10 species